rnacentral:rRNA from 1 species
UACGGGGGGGGCAAGCGUUGUUCGGAAUUACUGGGCGUAAAGGGCUCGUAGGCGGCCAACUAAGUCAGACGUGAAAUCCCUCGGCUUAACCGGGGACUGCGUCUGAUACUGGAUGGCUUGAGUUUGGGAGAGGGAUGCGGAAUUCCAGGUGUAGCGGAUGAAAUGCGUAGAGAUCGUAAGGAAGACCAGUGGCGAAGGCGGGUCUCU